rnacentral:rRNA from 1 species
ACGGCUCAGUAACACGUAGUCAACAUACCCAGAGGACGUGGAUAACCUCGGGAAACUGAGGAUAAACCGCGAUAGGUCAUAAUGUCUGGAAUGAUUUAUGGCUGAAAUCUACAUGGCCUCUGGAUUGGACUGCGGCCGAUCAGGCUGUUGGUGAGGUAAUGGCCCACCAAACCUAAAACCGGUACGGGCUCUGAGAGGAGGAGCCCGGAGAUGGGCACUGAGACAAGGGCCCAGGACCUAUGGGGCGCAGCAGGCGCGAAACCUCUGCAAUAGGCGAAAGCUUGACAGGGUUAUUCUGAGUGGUUUCCGCUAAGGAAAUCUUUUGGCACCUCUAAAAAUGGUGCAGAAUAAGGGGUGGGCAAGCCUGGUGUCAGCCGCCGCGGUAAUACCAGCACCCCGAGUGGUCGGGACGAUUAUUGGGCCUAAAGCAUCCGUAGCCGGUUCUGCAAGUCUUCCGUUAAAUCCACCUGCUCAACAGUUGGGCUGCGGAGGAUACUAUAGAGCUAGGAGGCGGGAGAGGCAAGCGGUACUUAGUGGGUAGGGGUAAAAUCCGUUGAUCCACUGAAGACCACCAGUGGCGAAGGCGGCUUGCCAGAACGCGCUCGACGGUGAGGGAUGAAAGCUGGGGGAGCAAACCGGAUUAGAUACCCGGGUAGUCCCAGCUGUAAACGAUGCAGACUCGGUGAUGAAUAAGCUUCGUGCUUAUUCAGUGCCGCAGGGAAGCCGUUAAGUCUGCCGCCUGGGGAGUACGGUCGCAAGACUGAAACUUAAAGGAAUUGGCGGGGGAG